CAAAGCCCCAAGUAGAGCACGUCUUCCUCGAGCUGAUGGCAUGGUGGUGUUUGGGUUGUCAGUUGUGAGAGGGAGCCAUGAUAAAAAGACGUUACCGCAGCGUGGAUGAUGUGUUGCGGGCUAUCCCAGGUGCAUUGCAUCUUCCUGGAAUUCCUGGCUUUAUUGAAGAUGGAACCUUGUUUUCUUCACCAGUUUUGGUGUAUACUGUGCGCCCUGCGGACAGCCUUUGGAAUUGGAUGAG